rnacentral:rRNA from 1 species
UAAGGAAUAUUGGUCAAUGGGGGCAACCCUGAACCAGCCAUGCCGCGUGCAGGAUGACAGCGCUCAGCGUUGUAAACUGCUUUUGUUUGGGAAAAACUGUUCGGUUUCUACCGGACUUGAUUGUACCAAGAGAAUAAGGGACGGCUAACUUCGUGCCAGCAGCCGCGGUAAUACGAAGGUCCCAAGCGUUAUCCGGAUUUAUUGGGUUUAAAGGGUGCGUAGGCGGACUGUUAAGUCAGUGGUGAAAGCUCCAUGCCUAACAUGGAAAUUGCCAUUGAUACUGACGGUCUUGAGUACAUUUGAAGUGGGCGGAAUGUGUCAUGUAGCGGUGAAAUGCUUAGAUAUGACACAGAACACCGAUUGCGUAGGCAGCUCACUAAACUGUAACUGACGCUGAGGCACGAAAGCGUGGGGAGCAAACAG